AGAGCGAACGCUGGCGGCAGACUUAACACAUGCAAGUCGAGCGGGCGUAGCAAGUACGGUCAGCGGCAGACGGGUGAGUAACGCGUGGGAACGUACCUUUUGGUUCGGAACAACACAGGGAAACUUGUGCUAAUACCGGAUAAGCCCUUACGGGGAAAGAUUUAUCGCCGAAAGAUCGGCCCGCGUCUGAUUAGCUAGUUGGUGAGGUAACGGCUCACCAAGGCGACGAUCAGUAGCUGGUCUGAGAGGAUGAUCAGCCACAUUGGGACUGAGACACGGCCCAAACUCCUACGGGAGGCAGCAGUGGGGAAUAUUGGACAAUGGGCGCAAGCCUGACCCAGCCAUGCCGCGUGAGUGAUGAAGGCCCUAGGGUUGUAAAGCUCUUUUGUGGCGGGAAGAUAAUGACGGUACCGCAAGAAUAAGCCCCGGACUAACUUCGUGCCAGCAGCCGC
rnacentral:rRNA from 1 species